UGAUAGCCCUGAUAGAAGCGACAUCCUUUUUCAAGUUUUUUACUUGAAAAAGAUACAGCGGAUAGCAGGAAACAGC
rnacentral:sRNA from 1 species